rnacentral:ncRNA from 2 species
GCCACGGGAGUCCAGCGCGCUGGGCUGAGAGGAGGGGCGAGCCCCUCGACCGUACGAACCUGAACCGGAUCAUGCCGGCGCAGGGAGGC